rnacentral:rRNA from 1 species
UACGUAGGGUGCAAGCGUUGUCCGGAAUUAUUGGGCGUAAAGAGCUCGUAGGUGGCCUGUCGCGUCGGCUGUGAAAACUCGGGGCUCAACUCCGAGCUUGCAGUCGAUACGGGCAGGCUAGAGUUCGGCAGGGGAGACUGGAAUUCCUGGUGUAGCGGUGAAAUGCGCAGAUAUCAGGAGGAACACCGGUGGCGAAGGCGGUUCUCUGGGCCUGUGACUGACGCUGAGGAGCGAAAGCGUGGGGAGCGAACAGG